GGUAUACUGCCUUUCUUGAGGCAUGUAGGGGUCACUGGAACCUUGGGUGGAGCGGUGAAGUGCGUAGAUAUCUAAUGGAACGCCUGUGGCGAAAGCGUGGUGACUGGUGCCUGUCCUGACGCUGAGACGCGAAAGCGUAUGGAGCAAACGGGAUUAGAUACCCCGGUAGUCUACGCUGUAAACGAUGCGCACUAGGUUCGAAGGUCCCUGACGACACUCGAGCCGAAACAAAAGCGAUAAGUGCGCCGCCUGGGGAGUACGGCCGCAAGGCUAAAACUCAAAGGAAUUGACGGGGGCUCACACAAGCGGUGGAGCAUGUGGAUCAAUCCGAAGCAACGCGAAGAACCUUACCUGGGUUUGACAUGCACGGAUGCCGUCCAUGAAAGUGGAGCCGGCUGCCUUCGGGUGAAACGUGUACAGGUGCUGCAUGGCUGUCGUCAGCUCGUGCUGUGAAGUGUCGGGUUAAGUCCCUUAACGAGCGAAACCUUAUCUCUAGUUGCCAACGGGUCAUGCCGGGAACUCUAGUGAGGACUGCCGGCGUUAAGCCGGAGGAAGGUGGGACGACGUC
rnacentral:rRNA from 1 species